rnacentral:rRNA from 1 species
CACGCCGUAAACGAUGAGUGCUAAGUGUUGGAGGGUUUCCGCCCUUCAGUGCUGCAGCUAACGCAUUAAGCACUCCGCCUGGGGAGUACGACCGCAAGGUUGAAACUCAAAGGAAUUGACGGGGGCCCGCACAAGCGGUGGAGCAUGUGGUUUAAUUCGAAGCAACGCGAAGAACCUUACCAGGUCUUGACAUCCUUUGACCACUCUAGAGAUAGAGCUUUCCCUUCGGGGACAAAGUGACAGGUGG